AGUCAUUAUUGCCCGGGUGGAGGCAGGAGGUCGGAGAAGCCUGUAUCUUCAUCCUCCUCUGUUGAAGAAGAGGAAAACCUGUCCAGGGUGUCUCCCCGCCUGCCGCCCAAUGACUGCUGGGAUAGGCUCCAGCAUCCCCGCGACCCCGAGAGCAGGAUAAGCGGUUUGGAUGAUGGAUGGACGGACGGUUCCACUACCCUGUCAGACUACGACUGUCAAUACUCACGGGCCUGGAGGUGUUCGUGGUGAAUAGCCAUGUACCUGUGUUCGCUGAAGACUGAGUUAUCCAGCACAAUCUUCUCCAGCAACUCAAUGAGCUCAUUAGGCAGGUCUGCAGUCAUGAAGGCCUUGACUGUGACUGACACUUCUUCCGGGUCCUGGGUCUCCGAAAGAGCCGUCUGCACUACCUGAGACAUAAGACUCGUAUCACACAUCAGGGAGACCAGAGGGUUCCUGACCUGGUCAAUGAGCUGUCGUCUGUAGGGGUUGUUCUCCUCCAGGACAUUCGCCCACAGCUCUGGAUCUUUCCGUCGUACCAGGUAGCGAGCUUCACUCUUAAACACUCAUCAGUGGAGAACUGUCCUCUGACCACCAUGAUCAGAUUCUUAAUAACAUCUUCAGAGCAGUCAACAUCCAAAAGACCACCUAUCACCACAGGGAGACGACUGGGGUUCACCUGAGAAUAAAACAAGACAAAGCCAUGAACAAGACUGCAAAUAAAUAAAUAAAAGUAAUUUAACUGAGAA